AGAAUACUAUUUCUCGAACUCACCGGAAGAACAUCGCCGCCCGUUAAGACCACUGUUGUCUUGUACUCUUUUCCGGUCGUCGGAUUGUUCACGUCGUUCGUAUCAUAUGCUCUCUCUCAUCUUUGCUAGUCGCCGCCUCGCCGGACUGUUGGCUGUUGAAACUUGACCUCCGAAUCCAUUGUCGCCGGAGCCUGCACCUUAUUUGUUUCCACCAUCUUCGUUCUCACUUUACCACUUUACCAGGGGUUACGGGGUUUCCUUCCCGAUUCUUCCGCUCACAUUAUCUUCCUCAGCUAUCUACCCUUUUCAUCCCUAUCCUCUUCUGCUUCAUCUGCUUUGAAUCAACCGACCGCCGUUAUCUUACUUCCACAUCUUCUCUACUCCGAUCGGUGGCUUCCAACGAAACAUUGUCGUCUCAGGUUUUGCUCCAUCUAACUUUCAACGAUUCUCCUACCACUUAUCUGCAUCUUCUCCUCCCACCCACCGACUCAUCGAUCUUCAACAUCAGACUGGUCACAAUUAAGACCCAAAAACCUCUCACCACUACCGACCUAUACGUCGUUGCUCACAAUCUUCUCCACCGACUCACCUCAAAGCUUCCAUCUUGGUUUCCAGGUCUUCGUCAUACCCUUAUGUCGCCUGGGCCUCUUCCUUUCGUUUUAGGGCUUUGGGGAGAGGGCAACCCUUGAUGAUGGUGGUGCGGACCAUUGCAGACACUACUGAAAGAAAGCAAUUUGAUGAGGAUUAGAAGACUGAAACGUACAAGCACCGACAUCUUUUUUGUUGAUGAUUGCCAGCUUCUGUGUCAAUUGUGAAAGAGGUAUGUAUGGACUUCCUUUUGUUUUCCCUCAAUCUAUGGUGUUCAUGUGUUUGAUUAUUGUAACUCGAUUCCGGUUGUUUUCCUUUCUCAAUUUGAUUCAAAUUCCGUCUUCACGGUACGCUGAUGAAGACGAAAUUGAUUACACUCCCCUGUAUCCAUAACAGUAAUAUGAAGAUGCAUAUUGUAGUUAAAAAAGCUCAUCUUGGACCUGUAAUAGCACUCGCAUUUUCAAAUGAUUAAAGGGCUUCUGGAUUCCCCGGACAAGUCGUUCAUGGUUUUGCUGCUUUACAUGAACACCAAUGUUAUCUCCAAACCGGAUAUCACGAUUAGAAAGCCACAAAAACGCAUUUGUUCUCCCAUAUGGUAAAUGCUCUCGCCCGUCCGUUUACCAUUUCUUCUACAUUUGCAGGUUGUUCUAUUGGGAAAAUAGAGACAACACCGGUCUGUUCCUCCGAUUCAGCUCCUGCCAACCAUUCCUCCAGUAAAUUGGUUAGACUUUUAAUGGUUGGUUCCAUGUGAUGUUCAUGUGGCUUUUUCGACUUCAGCCGGUAGUAAAUGGUGACGGUGGAUUGAUUGAGUUUCAAAUAUGGUUAUUGAGUUUUGGAUAAAUAAACACAACAAUGGGACCAUUUGUUUGUGCAAAGUCUAAUUUAGGGCAAUCUUAUCAACAACCAAUUUAGUUUUUUUUUGUUUCUUAAAUUCUUUUUUUGAUUUGAUUAUUAUGUUUUAAGGGUUUUUGCUAUGAGCUUGACUUUGAUGCACGAAUAAUUCAACUAUUUUUUAAGAAACAAGGCUUUAAUGCAGCGUA